CCUACGGGAGGCUGCAGUGAGGAAUAUUGGUCAAUGGGCGCGAGCCUGAACCAGCCAAGUAGCGUGAAGGAUGACUGCCCUACGGGUUGUAAACUUCUUUUAUAAAGGAAUAAAGUGAGGCACGUGUGCCUUUUUGAAUGUACUUUAUGAAUAAGGAUCGGCUAACUCCGUGCCAGCAGCCGCGGUAAUACGGAGGAUCCGAGCGUUAUCCGGAUUUAUUGGGUUUAAAGGGAGCGUAGAUGGGUUGUUAAGUAAGUUGUGAAAGUUUGGGGCUCAACCCUAAAAUUGCAAUUGAUACUGGCAGUCUUGAGUACAGUUGAGGGAGGCGGAAUUCGUGGUGUAGCGGUGAAAUGCUUAGAUAUCACGAAGAACUCCGAUUGCGAAGGCAGCUUACUAAACUGCCACUGACAUUGAUGCUCGAAAGUGUGGGUAUCAAACAGGAUUAGAUACCCGGGUAGUC
rnacentral:rRNA from 1 species